ACAGAGGGUGCGAGCGUUGUCCGGAAUUACUGGGCGUAAAGGGCGCGUAGGCGGUUUGGUAAGUAGGGGGUGAAAUACCACGGCUCAACCGUGGGACUGCCUUCUAAACUGCCAAGCUGGAGCAUGGUAGAGGCAGAUGGAAUUCCCGGUGUAGCGGUGGAAUGCGUAGAGAUCGGGAAGAACACCAGUGGCGAAGGCGGUCUGCUGGGCCAUAGCUGACGCUGAGGCGCGAUAGCGUGGGGAGCAAACAGG
rnacentral:rRNA from 1 species